GGGUGAGUAAUGCCUAAGAAUCUGCCUGGUAGUGGGGGAUAACGUCCGGAAACGGACGCUAAUACCGCAUACGUCCUACGGGAGAAAGCAGGGGACCUUCGGGCCUUGCGCUAUCAGAUGAGCCUAGGUCGGAUUAGCUAGUUGGUGGGGUAAUGGCUCACCAAGGCGACGAUCCGUAACUGGUCUGAGAGGAUGAUCAGUCACACUGGAACUGAAACACGGUCCAAACUCCUACGGGAGGCAGCAGUGGGGAAUAUUGGACAAUGGGCGAAAGCCUGAUCCAGCCAUGCCGCGUGUGUGAAAAAGGUCUUCGGAUUGUAAAGCACUUUAAGUUGGGAGGAAGGGCAGUAAAUUAAUACUUUGCUGUUUUGACGUUACCGACAGAAUAAGC
rnacentral:rRNA from 1 species